CUGGGCGUAAAGCGUGCGCAGGCGGAUUGUUAAGCAAGACGUGAAAGCCCCGGGCUUAACCUGGGAAUGGCGUUUUGAACUGGCAGUCUAGAGUGCGUCAGAGGGGGGUGGAAUUCCACGUGUAGCAGUGAAAUGCGUAGAGAUGUGGAGGAACACCAAUGGCGAAGGCAGCCCCCUGGGAUGACACUGACGCUCAUGUACGAAAGCGUGGGUAGCAAACAGGAUUAGAUACCCUGGUAGUCCACGCCCUAAACGAUGUCAACUGGUUGUUGGGGGAGUGAAAUCCCUUAGUAACGAAGCUAACGCGUGAAGUUGACCGCCUGGGGAGUACGGUCGCAAGAUUAAAACUCAAAGGAAUUGGCGGGGACCCGCAUAAGCGGUGGAUGAUGUGGAUUAAUUCGAUGCAACGCGAAAAACCUUACCUACCCUUGACAUGUCCAGGAUCCUGCAGAGAUGCGGGAGUGCCCGAAAGGGAAUUGGAACACAGGUGCUGCAUGGCUGUCGUCAGCUCGUGUCGUGGGAUGUUGGGUUAAGUCCCGCAACGAGCGCAACCCUUAUCAUUAGUUGCUACGCAAGGGCACUCUAAUGAGACUGCCGGUGACAAACCGGAGGAAGGUGGAGAUGACGUCAAGUCCUCAUGGCCCUUAUGGGUAGGGCUUCACACGUCAUACAAUGGUCGGUACAGAGGGUUGCCAAGCCGCGAGGUGGAGCCAAUCCCAGAAAGCCGAUCGUAGUCCGGAUUGUUCUCUGCAACUCGAGAGCAUGAAGUCGAAAUCGCUAGUAAUCGCGGAUCAGCAUGUCGCGGUGAAUACGUUCCCGGGUCU
rnacentral:rRNA from 1 species